CAUAUACUCCGUCCGUCCAGUAAUGGAUGUCUCAAGUUUGUCAAAAUUUAAAUGUAUCUAGACAUGAUUUAGUAUAUAGUUGCAUUCAAAUUUAAUUAAAUUUGAGACAUAUUUUAUUGGAUGGAGUAACCA
rnacentral:pre_miRNA from 1 species